rnacentral:ncRNA from 1 species
GGAAACGGAUGAAGAGAAGAGUAAAUGAAACGUGAUUCCUGACAGAGAGCCCCGUCUGCUGAAAAGGGGCAGGAAAAACUUCAUUGAACCAAGCCUCUGAGCGGCGCUUCGGAAGCGAAUAUUCGCGGAUGAUGCGACAUGAGCUCCUGUUACAGAGCUAGGGUAUACGCAGCUUAAACGCGGUUGCCGUACCCGAAGAGGCGGAUAUAGCGAUAUAUUCCGCGAACCGGGGUGGCACCGCGAACGCAAAUCUCGUCCCCAAG